UACAGAGGGUGCGAGCGUUGUCCGGAAUCACUGGGCGUAAAGGGCGCGUAGGUGGUGGCUUAAGCGUGCGGUGAAAGCUCGGGGCUCAACCCCGAGUCGGCCGUGCGAACUGGGCUCACUGGAGCAUAGUAGAGGCAGGUGGAAUUCCGGGUGUAGCGGUGGAAUGCGUAGAGAUCCGGAAGAACACCGGUGGCGAAGGCGGCCUGCUGGGACAAUGCUGACGCUGAGGCGCGACAGCGUGGGGAGCAAACAGG
rnacentral:rRNA from 1 species